rnacentral:rRNA from 1 species
UACAGAGGGUGCGAGCGUUAAUCGGAAUUACUGGGCGUAAAGCGUGCGUAGACGGCUAUCUAAGUCGGGUGUGAAAUCCCCGGGCUCAACCUGGGAACUGCAUUCAAAACUGUCGAGCUAGAGUAUGGUAGAGGGUGGUGGAAUUUCCUGUGUAGCGGUGAAAUGCGUAGAUAUAGGAAGGAACACCAGUGGCGAAGGCGACCACCUGGACUGAUACUGACACUGAGGUGCGAAAGCGUGGGGAGCAAACAGG